AUACGGAGGAUCCGAGCGUUAUCCGGAUUUAUUGGGUUUAAAGGGUGCGCAGGCGGCCAUUUAAGUCAGCGGUUAAAUCGUGGGGCUCAACCCCAUUCUGCCGUUGAUACUGGGUGGCUUGAUUGCGGUCGAGGUUGGCGGAAUUCGUUGUGUAGCGGUGAAAUGCAUAGAUAUGACGAAGAACACCGAUUGCGUAGGCAGCUGACCAGACCGCAAAUGACGCUCAUGCACUAAAGUGCGGGGAUCGAACAGGAUUAGAUACCCUGGUAGUCCGCACAGUAAACGAUGAAUACUUGUUUUCGGCGAUAUAAUGUCGGAGGCAAAGCGAAAGCGAUAAGUAUUCCACCUGGGGAGUACGCCGGCAACGGUGUAACUCAAAUGAAUUGACGGGG
rnacentral:rRNA from 1 species